rnacentral:rRNA from 1 species
GACGAACCGUGCGACCGUUAUUCGGAAUCACUGGGCUUAAAGGGCGCGUAGGCGGGCUGACAAGUCUGGGGUGAAAUCCCGCGGCUCAACCGCGGAACUGCCUCAGAUACUGUCGGCCUCGAGGAAGGUAGGGGCAUGCGGAACUGUAGGUGGAGCGGUGAAAUGCGUUGAUAUCUACAGGAACUCCGGUGGCGAAAGCGGCGUGCUGGACCUUUUCUGACGCUGAGGCGCGAAAGCUAGGGGAGCAAACGGG